rnacentral:rRNA from 1 species
GACGAACGCUGGCGGCGUGCCUAAUACAUGCAAGUCGAACGCAGUGGGGACGGGUGAGUAACACGUGGGUAACCUCCCAUCAGAGGGGAUAACACUUGGAAACAGGUGCUAAACCGAUACUGAUGGAUGGACCCGCGGUGCAUUAGCUAGUUGGUGAGGUAACGGCUCACCAAGGCCACGAGGCAUAGCCGACGUGAGAGUGUGAUCGGCCAAACUGGGACUGAAACGAGGCCCUGACUCCUACGGUAGGCAGAAGUAGGGAAUCUUCGGAAAUGGACGAAAGGAUGACCGAGCAACGCCGCGUGAGUGAAGAAGGUGUUCGGAUCGUAAAACUCUGUUGUUAGAGAAGCGGUAGCUAACCAGAAAGCCACGACUAACUACGUGCCAGCAGCCGCGGUAAUUC